rnacentral:rRNA from 1 species
CUUGCUGCUUUGCUGACGAGUGGCGGACGGGUGAGUAAUGUCUGGGAAACUGCCUGAUGGAGGGGGAUAACUACUGGAAACGGUAGCUAAUACCGCAUAACGUCGCAAGACCAAAGAGGGGGACCUUAGGGCCUCUUGCCAUCGGAUGUGCCCAGAUGGGAUUAGCUAGUAGGUGGGGUAACGGCUCACCUAGGCGACGAUCCCUAGCUGGUCUGAGAGGAUGACCAGCCACACUGGAACUGAG